rnacentral:lncRNA from 1 species
ACAGACAACAGGUGCAACCGGAGAUUGACCACAAUAAGAAUCAUAAAAUUAUAGUCAGUGAAUCACUCUCAAUCCAGGCCUAUUAUGCUUGGAGAUCUUUAAUAGCUACCCGUAGCCCAAAUCAGGCUGCAGAUAACACUACAAAAGGUACCCAUGAGGUCUGCAAGGAUCACUAAUUCUAAUUAAUUGGCGACGCUUAUUUUUGAUCACGAACCCAGCAACUGCUCAAAGGCAUCAAAGUUAAUCUUUAGAACUCUAGCA